CAAUAUUGGAAAUAGAUAUCUCUGAAUUUUGUUACAAUGAAGAACGUACUGAAGUGCAAUGGUUGGUGUGAAUUGCAUAACCAAGAAUUUCAUAAUCUUGUGAAUCAUAGAGUUUUUAAAUACAAUUUGUGGAUGAGGCCUUGGCCAAUGACACAUUUGUCUAGGCGUCA
rnacentral:rRNA from 1 species